rnacentral:tRNA from 1 species
AUUUCAAGGUAAGAAGUUGCAUUCUAACUCAUAAUCGCUUGGUCGCUGGUUCAAGUCCAGCAGGGGCCACCA